rnacentral:rRNA from 1 species
UACGUAGGGUGCAAGCGUUGUCCGGAAUUAUUGGGCGUAAAGAGCUCGUAGGCGGUUUGUCGCGUCUGCUGUGAAAACGCGAGGCUCAACCUCGCGCCUGCAGUGGGUACGGGCAGACUAGAGUUCGGUAGGGGAGACUGGAAUUCCUGGUGUAGCGGUGAAAUGCGCAGAUAUCAGGAGGAACACCGGUGGCGAAGGCGGGUCUCUGGGCCGAAACUGACGCUGAGGAGCGAAAGCGUGGGGAGCGAACAGG